GUUGGCGGCGGGAGAGUAACGCGUGGAAUACGUACCCUCAGGCCCGGGAUAGCUGCGGGAAACUGCAGGUAAUACCGGAUAACAUUUUCGGGAUCAAAGGGUGUGAUUCCACCUGAGGAGCGGUCCCGCGUCCUAUUAGCUUGUUGGUGGGGGUAACGGGCCUACCAAGGCAUUGAUGGGUACCGGGGUGUGAAGAGCAUGGCCCGGCUCACUGGGACUGAGACACUGCCCAGACACCUACGGGUGGCUGCAGUCGAGAAUCUUCCGCAAUGGGCGAAAGCCUGACGGAGCGACGCCGCGUGCGGGAUGAAGGCCUUCGGGUUGUAAACCGCUGUCAGAGGGGAGUAAGUGAAGGGGGUUAUCCCCUGGAUCUGAACUAUCCUCAGAGGAAGGACGGGCUAAGUUCGUGCCAGCAGCCGCGGUAAGACGAACCGUCCAAACGUUAUUCGGAAUCACUGGGCUUAAAGGGUGCGUAGGCGGCCCUGCAAGUUGGGUGUGAAAUCCCACGGCUCAACCGUGGAAUUGCGCCCAAAACUGCAGGACUUGAGGGAGACAGAGGUGAGCGGAACUUAUGGUGGAGCGGUGAAAUGCGUUGAUAUCAUAAGGAACACCGGUGGCGAGGGCGGCUCACUGGGUCUCUUCUGACGCUGAGGCACGAAAGCUAGGGUAGCGAACAGGAUUAGAUACCCUGGUAGUCCUAGCUGUA
rnacentral:rRNA from 1 species